rfam:Sulfitobacter sp. H3 contig6, whole genome shotgun sequence.
CCACUAACUGUUGUGUCAUGGUUCUUCCGAUGCGAGUCGGAAGUGAAAAGGGAAGCCGGUGCGGUGCAUGUACCAAAUCCGGCGCUGCCCCCGCAACUGUAAGCGGCGAGCGACGCUGAGAUGCCACUGGGAAACGUUCCGGGAAGGCCAGCCAAGUUUCGACCCGCAAGCCAGGAGACCUGCCUGACAACGACAAGACGA